rnacentral:rRNA from 1 species
CACAUGCAAGUCGAGCGGAGACAGUGAGUAGCUUGCUAUGAGCUGUUUUAGCGGCGGACGGGUGAGUAACGCGUGAGCAACCUUUCCCAGACAGGGGAAUAACACACCGAAAGGUGUACUAAUACCGCAUAAGACCACGGAAUCACAUGGUUCUGAGGUAAAAGAUUUAUCGGUUUGGGGUGGGCUCGCGUCCGAUUAGGUAGUUGGUGAGGUAACGGCCCACCAAGCCGACGAUCGGUAGCCGACCUGAGAGGGUGAUCGGCCACAUUGGGACUGAGACACGGCCCAAACUCCUACGGGAGGCAGCAGUGGGGAAUAUUGGGCAAUGGAGGAAACUCUGACCCAGCAACGCCGCGUGGAGGAAGAAGGUUUUCGGAUCGUAAACUCCUGUCCUUGGAGACGAGUAGAAGACGGUAUCCAAGGAGGAAGCCCCGGCUAACUACGUGCCAGCAGCCGCGGUAAUACGUAGGGGGCAAGCGUUGUCCGGAAUAAUUGGGCGUAAAGGGCGCGUAGGCGGCUCGGUAAGUCUGGAGUGAAAGUCCUGCUUUUAAGGUGGGAAUUGCUUUGGAUACUGUCGGGCUUGGGUGCAGGAGAGGUUAGUGGAAUUCCCAGUGCAGCGGUGAAAUGCGUAGAGAUUGGGAGGAACACCAGUGGCGAAGGCGACUAACUGGACUGUAACUGACGCUGAGGCGCGAAAGUGUGGGGAGCAAACAGGAUUAGAUACCCUGGUAGUCCACACUG